rnacentral:rRNA from 1 species
UACGUAGGGCGCAAGCGUUGUCCGGAAUUAUUGGGCGUAAAGAGCUCGUAGGCGGCUUGUCGCGUCGGAUGUGAAAGCCCGGGGCUUAACUCCGGGUCUGCAGUCGAUACGAGCAAACUAGAGUGUUGCAGGGGAGACUGGAAUUCCUGGUGUAGCGGUGAAAUGCGCAGAUAUCAGGAGGAACACCGGUGGCGAAGGCGGGUCUCUGGGCCGAUACUGACGCUGAGGAGCGAAAGCGUGGGGAGCGAACGGG